ensembl:lncRNA
CACACACACACACUCUUUCCUUUGCUGUGAGGCCUUAGGUGUUGGAGCGUUCCCCGCUCUGGGAGGGUUGAAGCUGGGGCCGCCAGAGAAGGCCGGAGUAGCUUGCUGCCGCUCCAGGAGCCUCGAUGGAGAGGGGUCAUUUAGCUGGAGGGGGUCUCUCUCUCUCUCUGUGUGUUUGUAGUCUCUCGAUGGAGAGGGGUCAUUUAGCUGGAGGGGGUCUCUCUCUCUCUGUGUGUUUGUAGUCUCUCGAUGGAGAGGGGUCAUUUAGCUGGAGGGGGGGUCUCUCUCUCUCUCUGUGUGUUUGUAGUCUCUCGAUGGAGAGGGGUCAUUUAGCUGGAGGGGGUCUCUCUCUCUCUGUGUGUUUGUAGUCUCUCGAUGGAGAGGGGUCAUUUAGCUGGAGGGGGUCUCUCUCUCUCUCUGUGUGUUUGUAGUCUCUCGAUGGAGAGGGGUCAUUUAGCUGGAGGGGGUCUCUCUCUCUCUCUGUGUGUUUGUAGUCUCUCGAUGGAGAGGGGUCAUUUAGCUGGAGGGGGUCUCUCUCUCUCUCUCUCUGUGUGUUUGUAGUCUCUCGAUGGAGAGGGGUCAUUUAGCUGGAGGGGGUCUCUCUCUCUCUGUGUGUUUGUAGUCUCUCGAUGGAGAGGGGUCAUUUAGCUGGAGGGGGUCUCUCUCUCUCUCUCUCUGUGUGUGUUUGUAGUCUCUCGAUGGAGAGGGGUCAUUUAGCUGGAGGGGGUCUCUCUCUCUCUCUGUGUGUUUGUAGUCUCUCGAUGGAGAGGGGUCUUUUAGCUGGAGGGGGUCUCUCUCUCUCUCUGUGUGUUUGUAGUCUCUCGAUGGAGAGGGGUCAUUUAGCUGGAGGGGGUCUCUCUCUCUGUGUGUUUGUAGUCUCUCAAUGGAGAGGGGUCAUUUAGCUGGAGGGGGUCUCUCUCUCUCUCUGUGUUUGUAGUCUCUCGAUGGAGAGGGGUCAUUUAGCUGGAGGGGGUCUCUCUCUCUCUCUGUGUGUGUUUGUAGUCUCUCGAUGGAGAGGGGUCAUUUAGCUGGAGGGGGUCUCCCUCUCUCUUUGUGUGUUUGCAGUCUUCAGUGUGCGAAAUGUAACCACACUUAAACACACUUAAAUGCUGAACACGCAGAUGUUGGGGUACUCACCAACCGGUCGAAGCAACCGGGAGAAGCUGGAUCAGGGUAGAGGGCCAGAACAAACCCUGGUCACGCCAAACACCAGGUUGAAUAAAGGUAAGCUAAGAGGUAUCAAGAGCAGUUAGAGAAAGUAUUUAAUAGGGUUAAAACAAAAGGCAGAAAGGCCUCGACAGCGGGGCUCCGGCGGGAGACAAUCGCGGGCAACAAUCCCUUUCUCCUCCAUGUCGUGGUUCAGUCCACUUCAGAUUGAUAGGUUGAUGUGGACGUGGAAGAACCAGAGACGUCGGAGAACCCGACGCAGUCGUUAGAGAUUAAUUAUAUUGUCUGGAGGCGCAAACAGCUUUUGGCGGUGAUAAUAUAUUUUAUAUGAUAUAGAUAUCUACGUCUAAUGUCAUAUUAUUUAGAUAUAGAGCUCCAGGACUCCCGCCGGAGCACCCAGAGUUGUCUAGAACAUUUACAGACCACAGGCAUUGGCACUUGGUUCUAUGAACAUCCUAACUGUACCAGCAGAGAUUUAUUGUUGUCUUUCUUCUUUGACUUAUUGUAGGCGUCUGCUAAACGCCCUAAAUGUGAAAUGUAAAUGUCGCAGCAAAGUUCAGAAGCGCAGGAAAGGGGCCUAUUCGGGAUAUUGAACCGUCGGCAUAGUGGCAUGUCGAUCUAAUGGGAAAUAUUUCGGACCACUGAGACGUCGGAACAAUGAGGCGUCGGAAUUACGGCAUGGCACCUUAUCUGGUGUUCCCUGAGGGUCACUGCAGUGGAACUAAUUACAGUAAUGCUCAACGUCUAACGGGGAGCGGACUUCAACUAAAAUCACAAUGUUGCAUUUCAACUUGCAUGUGGCUCAAAAUGUGCGG